GAGUUUUUACAUAAAAUAAGCCCGACAAUCAGAGUCGGAGGACAAAUACCUCAUUAUAGUUGAAGUUCUCUUUCGCCGGCACUGGAUGUGUAGUCUGUUUGCCCGAGGGUUGGAUGGACUGGCGACAGUUCACAAAGGAGAAGGAAAGACAAAGUCCCAAGGAUGUAGCAAGAAGUCGAGGAACAGGAGAGCUGGUUGGAGAUCUGGCACUCGUCAGAGUUUCUGCUGUGUCUGCCCGACGGUCGAGACGAGAGGUAUCUCGUUUCUCAGCUACCUCUGAGAUAAUGCACCAACUAGCCUUUCGGCGAUUAGAGCCCAACUUAUUGAAAUAAGCGAGCAUGUCAGAAUCACAUCUGAAUGCUUCGACGAUCUGGAACCAACUGGCUUUUCUUUUGUCCCAGUGCUCUCUCACCCAUUUGGCUAAAACAUAUUCCCCCUUCUCUUCAGGAAGUCGCUAUCGCGAUUCCGGUCACAUAAUUCACAUCAACCCCACCAAACACCUGCACAAUGUUCGAG
rnacentral:lncRNA from 1 species